GUAACACAGAGGAGCUUGCUCCUUGGGUGACGAGUGGCGGACGGGUGAGUAAUGUCUGGGAAACUGCCCGAUGGAGGGGGAUAACUACUGGAAACGGUAGCUAAUACCGCAUAACGUCGCAAGACCAAAGAGGGGGACCUUCGGGCCUCUUGCCAUCGGAUGUGCCCAGAUGGGAUUAGCUAGUAGGUGGGGUAACGGCUCACCUAGGCGACGAUCCCUAGCUGGUCUGAGAGGAUGACCAGCCACACUGGAACUGAGACACGGUCCAGACUCCUACGGGAGGCAGCAGUGGGGAAUAUUGCACAAUGGGCGCAAGCCUGAUGCAGCCAUGCCGCGUGUAUGAAGAAGGCCUUCGGGUUGUAAAGUACUUUCAGCGAGGAGGAAGGCGUUGUGGUUAAUAACCUCAACGAUUGACGUUACUCGCAGAAGAAGCACCGGCUAACUCCGUGCCAGCAGCCGCGGUAAUACGGAGGGUGCAAGCGUUAUUCGAAAUUACUGGGCGUAAAGCGCACGCAGGCGGUCUGUCAAGUC
rnacentral:rRNA from 1 species